rnacentral:lncRNA from 1 species
GCUUGUUAUUGAAUGUUUUUUUUUUUAAAAAAAAAUUCCAAAAAAGUGACGUCAUUUAAUAUGAAAUGGUUUGAAAAUUUUGUUUCCGAGUUUGCCCUUGGCCAGAUUCAUUGCACAUAAAAGUUCUCUUUCUUCCCUGUUUCAUCAGUUGUGGAAUUUCUCUGAGAGGUUCGUUCUCUUCCUUUACGGUCAUCCCAAAUCGUUUUCGACUUCGUUUUUGUGAUCUGACUGUCAUUGGUCUUUGUGGUUGCCCUCUUUGCCUUCGUUAUCGGGGUGGGUGUUGCGGUUAUUGCAUCUUUUGGUUGUUGGUGUGUUCGUGUUGCGAAAUGACGACUUCUUCGACUCGGGUAAGCGCGUUAAUCUUUGGUUGGUUUGUGGUGUUUAGUGCUUGGUAUUUGGAGUUUGGGUUUUGUGUGUUUUUUUUGAUUUAGGGUUUUGAAGUUUUGGUUUUUGGAAUUUGUAUGCAGUUGACGGUUCGUCACUCGGUUUCCACAAAGUUCAUAUGUAGUGAUUUUAAGGAUGAACCAAGACAAAAAAUGAAAGAUGACAAGGCAUCAGCAAAGAAGCUACUUAAGAGAAAACGCAGAGAGAGUUUUAUGCAAACUCUACACCAGCAACAAAGUCUAGUUGCAUAACUUAAAAGGAGGGUUCUUUUGUUGGAGGAAGAGGUGGCAUUUGAGAAAGCUAGACGAAGACGACCAGAGGAUGGUGGACAGAGUGUGCCUCGUGAAGAACCGUCUAUCUCCCCGAGAGUGUUCUCCCCGGGUGGUAUUACUCCACCAACGAAGACAUAUGUCGGGAUGGGGUCGCGAAGGUGUUACAAGAGUAGAGCACUUCGGACUCCUUAUGUUGGAUUUCUUAGGAUAAAGAAUGACUGAUAUUUGUAAAUUUUAUUUUAGAUAUUGU